AGAGCUUGUUCCUGAAGCAUGGUGCUAAGUCCAUAUGCAGCAGAUGGAGCUCAUGAGAAAAGAGUUGCUCUUGUGAAGACCAAAGCUUGGUGAGGUGUCAGAUCCCCGGCGAUGGAAAGCAGUCAACUCAUGGGUAGUAAAAAGAAUGUAUUGACAACACUAUAGGUUUGAAAAGGAAAGUUUUAUUAGAUGGAAAGAACAGUGCAGAAGACCGCAGCAGAGGACCUCAGCAAGAGAGAACUAAAAAUGGUCAAUUACAAAGCACAACAUAAGACUGGAACAUUGGAGUUAAGUAGCAGAGAUCAAAAGAGGAGAUUGCAGAUGGAGGUGUUGUAUGUGAC
rnacentral:lncRNA from 1 species